GUUUGAUUUGUUGUUUCCUUAGAAAACCAGGCUGAGCUCCCAGCAGCAGCUCACUUUCAACCUCUCUGUCUGAGCUAGAAAGAAAAGGCUUCGUCCCAAAAGGGGAUAUUUCCUGUAUCACUGGAAAGGUUGAGUGAUGUUUGCAUUUUUCUUAUUCUCCUUUAUCUUUCUGCAGGAGGAAACCUGGCCAGGAGCAGGCCCUUGGAUGCUGAGGGUGAGUGUGAUUGUCCCAAUUCACAUGGUGGAGCUGCAAGGUGAGACCCACUGAGCCAGAAAAUAUUUCCAUUUACCUCACUCCACUCCUUCAACCGAGUAUUGAAGCACCACGCUGGAGGUAACACAAGCUGAAGAGACUUAGACAAAAUUUAAACAUGUGCUUUUUCUUGGGCAAACACUGAGUAAUGAUUGCACUGGCUCAGGGGAAAUGCCCUGGUGUGAAGGCAGCACUUCUCAGCUCCAAAUCAGCUUGUGUUUGUGGAAGUUUGAUGCCGUUUUGCAAAGUUUGCUUUCUCAAAUGAGAAAGAAACAGCCAAAAAUAUUACGGUUUCUACAAAAAACAAGUUGGAAUAGGCCAAAUAAAAUGACAAUCUCCACUUGGCAGGGAGAAAGGGUGACGUAAUUAGCUGAUUUUUAUUAAGAAAUUAGCAGAAAGGUGUGAAUUUGAUACAUAACCCAUUUCUGGCCAGAAACAUCAUGGCAUGGAGGGCAGAAAAGAUACACAGGUAAAUGCUUUAGCAAAAAUAACCUGUAUCUAUAGUCAGAUAAUGCCCAAAUAUAAGACUUAAGAAAUGAAAUCAUAGGCUGAAAUAAAUGUCCCUAAUUUAUUUUCCUGCUCUUUUCUGCCAGUUUCAAGUUUCCUUCAAAUCUCUCCCAUUUGCUGAAUUCUUCUGUGGCAGAAAUCUGGCCUGCUCUUUUGCAAACCAGAGCAAAAGGAAUGCUUUCAAACAUCCCAGACAGAUCAUUUUCUCUUUGCUGUUCUCUUGAUGAUGUUAGAAAACACAAACUGCUUUUGUGAGACCUCUGCUACUGUGGAAAGAGCCAUGGUACGCUCCAGCAGAUGACACACACAAUUCAGAAUGAGUAAAAACUAAAAAAACACAAUCUGCUGACGCUUUGAGAAAACCCCAUGUCUCUAUGUAAACCUGUGGAUUUGGGUUUUGGGAUUUGUUUUUGUUUUCCCCAUGGGGAUCCAUGAGCUCAUAGGUUCCUCAGGAGAAGCAAGAGGUCUUUGCUGAGCAUCUGGGCUGCCUCUGCAUCCCUGGAGAGCAACAAACAUCCCUGGGGACCCCACAAAUCUUCUGCUGAUGGCUGAGAGACCAGAGAAGGAGCUCAGCCCUUAACUGAGGCCGUGGUGGACAAAUCAUCGUGUGUGGCUGACCCAGCUGAGCUCCACCUCUCUCCAGAGCUGUUUUCCAUGGGAGCACAUCUGUUCUGGCCUCUCCACCUGUUU